CUGAAAGUGGCCUUGAACUCCUGAUCCUCCUACCUCUGCUUGAAGAUUUCGGGAUUAUAAACCAACGCCACCACACAUGAUACUAACUGUGGGAUUCAGUAGGAAAUCUAUUCCCUUGCUGAACCUGGUCUUGUGCAAGCUAGAUGCAUUAAAGCUUUCCUGCAGAAGGAUCCGAGUGUCCUGUGUGAUUCUUGCCGGCGAGAAUAUUGCGUGGGACAUCUGGUGCCGAAACCCGGGAACUUGUUAACAUUGCCGGCACUGCGGAGACCCCUUGGCUACAAGGCAGAUUCAGAACUGCAGGGUGGUAAAUUUGGAGAGGAUGAAGAGAAUCCCCUGUGGAUCCCAGAAAGACUCACCCGAAGAGCCCCUUCGGACCUUCAAAAGUCGGAACUCCACCCUCUCCCCGGGAGUUGAGAGCCGCUAUUAUUAUCCAGAUUAACUCCUGUCCUUGACGGAGAGAUUGUCAUCGCUUAAGGGGUGGGGGUGGGAUUGUUUGGUGAAGCCGUUUGCUGCGGAUUGGUGUUACUUCUCUGGCUGGUCUGUAGGCUCAAGGCUCAAACU
rnacentral:lncRNA from 1 species